GCCGGUGUGGCGGAAUGGUAGACGCGGCGCACUCAAAAUGCGUUGUUGCAAAACGUGUGGGUUCGAGUCCCACCACCGGUA
rnacentral:tRNA from 1 species